rnacentral:rRNA from 1 species
UACGGGGGGGGCAAGCGUUGUUCGGAAUUACUGGGCGUAAAGGGUCUGUAGGUGGCCAACUAAGUCAGACGUGAAAUCCCUCGGCUUAACCGGGGAACUGCCUCUGAUACUGGAUGGCUUGAGAUUGGGAGAGGGAUGCGGAAUUCCAGGUGUAGCGGUGAAAUGCGUAGAUAUCUGGAGGAACACCGGUGGCGAAGGCGGCAUCCUGGACCAACACUGACGCUGAGGAGCGAAAGCCAGGGGAGCAAACGGG